GAUGAAGAACGUAGCGAAAUGCGAUAAGUAGUGUGAAUUGCAGAAGUACCGUGAAUCAUCGAAUCUUUGAACGCACAUUGCGCCCCCUGGUAUUCCGGGGGGCAUGCCUGUUCGAGCGUCAUUUCACCACUCAAGCCUCGCUUGGUAUUGGGCAACGCGGUCCGCCGCGUGCCUCAAAUCGACCGGCUGGGUCUUCUGUCCCCUAAGCGUUGUGGAAACUAUUCGCUAAAGGGUGUUCGGGAGGCUACGCCGUAAAACAACCCCAUUUCUAAGGUUGACCUCGGAUCAGGUAGGGAUACCCGCUGAACUUAAGCAUAUCAAUAAGCGGAGGA
rnacentral:misc_RNA from 1 species